GGGACACGUGGUAUCCUGUCUGAAUAUGGGGGGACCAUCCUCCAAGGCUAAAUACUCCUGACUGACCGAUAGUGAACCAGUACCGUGAGGGAAAGGCGAAAAGAACCCCGGCGAGGGGAGUGAAAAAGAACCUGAAACCGUGUACGUACAAGCAGUGGGAGCCUCUUAAUGGGGUGACUGCGUACCUUUUGUAUAAUGGGUCAGCGACUUAUAUUCUGUAGCAAGGUUAACCGAAUAGGGGAGCCGAAGGGAAACCGAGUCUUAACUGGGCGUUAAGUUGCAGGGUAUAGACCCGAAACCCGGUGAUCUAGCCAUGGGCAGGUUGAAGGUUGGGUAACACUAACUGGAGGACCGAACCGACUAAUGUUGAAAAAUUAGCGGAUGACUUGUGGCUGGGGGUGAAAGGCCAAUCAAACCGGGAGAUAGCUGGUUCUCCCCGAAAGCUAUUUAGGUAGCGCCUCGUGAAUUCAUCUCCGGGGGUAGAGCACUGUUUCGGCAAGGGGGUCAUCCCGACUUACCAACCCGAUGCAAACUGCGAAUACCGGAGAAUGUUAUCACGGGAGACACACGGCGGGUGCUAACGUCCGUCGUGAAGAGGGAAACAACCCAGACCGCCAGCUAAGGUCCCAAAGUCAUGGUUAAGUGGGAAACGAUGUGGGAAGGCCCAGACAGCCAGGAUGUUGGCUUAGAAGCAGCCAUCAUUUAAAGAAAGCGUAAUAGCUCACUGGUCGAGUCGGCCUGCGCGGAAGAUGUAACGGGGCUAAACCAUGCACCGAAGCUGCGGCAGCGACACUAUGUGUUGUUGGGUAGGGGAGCGUUCUGUAAGCCUGCGAAGGUGUGCUGUGAGGC
rnacentral:rRNA from 1 species